GCCUACACCAGCUUUGCAGGAACACCGUCCUACAGCCCCCCGGAAUGGACGCACCUCGGCUGGUACCACGGCGAGGCAGCGACCGUCUGGUCCCUGGGCAUCGUGCUGCACCAGAUGGUCUGCGGGGAGCACCCUUUCAGGAGGGGCUGGAACAGCACCUGGGGCCGGCUCUCGCUCCCACGACAGCUCUCUCCAGAGUGCCAGGAUCUCAUCCGACGGUGUUUAUCCGUGCUCUCCUCGGAAAGGCCCUCAUUAGAAGACCUGUCCUGUGAUCCUUGGAUGCAGGAUAUUCACGUGCCAUAGGAGAAGGGAGAGAGCCACACGCACGCUUUGAUCCAGGGAGCCGCGACAGCCGGGGCCCUGGGCAGAGCACUGACAGCCUG